UACGUAGGUGGCGAGCGUUGUCCGGAAUUACUGGGUGUAAAGCGCGUGUAGGCGGCAGGCCAAGUCGGUGGUGAAAGCGCCCGGCUCAACUGGGCGAGGUCCAUGGAAACUGGUCAGCUGGAGGACGGUAGAGGCGAGUGGAAUUCCCGGUGUAGUGGUGAAAUGCGUAGAUAUCGAGAGGAACACCUGCGGCGAAGGCGGGUUGCUGGGCCGACACUGACGCUGAUGCGCGAAAGCCAGGGGAGCGAACGGG
rnacentral:rRNA from 1 species